rnacentral:snoRNA from 1 species
ACAGAAAGGAUGAAAUCAUUACGGAUGUAAAUGAGCACUAGCUCACGCGUCCGAGAGCGCAUAACUCGUGUGGAUGCUUCCGUUGCCUUCCUUCUGACUACUUUC